ACACGGCACUUGGCAAAAUAAACUCACGGUGGGUGUCUGGGUGUCUUUUUUUUUUUUCUUUUUUUUUUUUUUUUUUUUUUUUUUUUUUUUCCGUAUUGUAUUUUCUUGCUUACUGAUUCCCAGGAGCUAGCAGAGGUGGUGGGACCCGUCACCAAGUGAGAGGAGCAGGGGCAGGGGCUGCGACGCUGCCCAGAGGUCAGAGUUUAAGGUCUUGCUGAAGGGGCUCCUCCAGGAUCUGUCUCUUGUGGUGCAGCAAGUCGCGCUGCUAAGCGGAGAGCAACUGUCCCUGCUGGAAGAUUUCACCCCAGUCUGGCUCUUUGCUUGUUGCAUCUCCAGCUGUGAUCUUAGUGUCACAGCAUCCCCAGGCACAUUUCAAAUCCUCCCCAGCUUCAGGAAGCCAUGCUUAUCCCUGGGUUUGAAAACUUAAUACAUUUCUACUCUCCCCAUGCAAAGGGGAGUACAUACUGCAAGAUGAAGAGCCUUUAGCUCCGGCAUUUCCAUCUGUGCUGCCUUCCCAAGGAAUCUCCCCUCUCUUCCUGACUCCAGGACCUAUUCCCAGGAGCCAUCCUGCUGCUGCCUGAGUCAGUGCCGUUCAGUGCCAGCUCCCCAGGGCCCUUCACAGACCAGCUCCUCAGCACGCUGGCGAUGACCAGGGACUGGGGGGUCUUUGGGGAGGUUUGGGACCAAAGCACCAAGGUGCCAGCAUGAGCAACAUGCUGGAGAUUCAGCAAAAUCACUCCGGGAGUCAAGUGACUGCUGUGAAUUCAGAUAAACUGUGUGCUCUCAAGCUAUGAGUGGCAAGCGUGGUUGCAAACAACAAGAUUUCUUCUGUCUGGGGCUCCACAGUUUGGCUCUGGUGUGGAGCUACUGUACGGUAGACAGCUGCUAGUACUUGGGGCAGACCUCAACAGACCAUGUGAACGUAACCACCUCAUUUUGAGCUCCCUAGUCGGAUCAAUUACUGAAAAGACACGGCAUCAAACCCACCUCUCCCUUUGCUCUGCUUUGCCACUCUUUCUAGAUCAGCAGUUGUUGUAUAGGUCUUUUAAUUUCAGGGCAGCGCCUGCCUUAACACGACACACAAUGCCACCUGGGCCAGAAGAAGGAAAUGACGCCAAACCACUUGGCUGAAAUGUGGCUGUCCAGAGGGUAAAGGCUCUCAGUGAGUCUCCUACUGAGUCCCUGCUUUGUUAAAGCAUUUGCAGAAGUCUAUGUCACGCAGCAGAGUCUAUCAAAUUCAUUUUUACAGCUAGUUCCAGGUAAUCCAUUCUCCAAAGUCACCUGAGACAGAAAAUGCAUCUUUGCUCCCAGCCCCAGUUUUUGGAUGCAGCAGAUCUUUCUUCAUCUUCAAGGUACGGAGAGCUUAACUUGUCUGUGUUCCCGCAGCACUCAGCAAUAUCCUGACUCCCACCAGUGCCUUCCGAGCAGCUCCUCUGAACCCCUCGUUAUGAAGGCUGACUCAUGUGUACCUCACCCAGGAAGCAUUUAUCAGCACCAACAUCUUCGUGGAACAAUGGUGAAAACACGUCCCUCCAGUGUGCUCCAGUUGUCUUAUGUGCACCGGCUCAUGGGGUUUUCUUUAUUUGUUUUUGUCAGGAUGAGCUGGUGUUUGCUCCAGUUUGGUAGCGUGAUUUUAGUCAUCGUGUUCUCACUGCCAAAUCCCACAUCUAGAGCUCACCACAUGAGCAAUGGAGACAAAUUUAACUCAUCCAUUGUUCCCCCUUUGACAUACACUACAUCAUGCACGGUGCAUGGUCUGAUUGUGAUUCUGGCAAGAUCCUGGCAAUUUCAAAGUUACUAUUAAUAAUGGUAAUGAUAUGCAGGAUGUACUCAAAAAUAUGUCUUCCUGGAGGGCUUAAUACAUGUUCCUUUAUCAGACUCUCCAGUUUUCUUUCCAUCACUCUCUGGGGUGGCCCUGCGAUGUUGUGUGUACAAGCUGGAGGGCUCAGGAGGCCAGUUGCAGUGCCAAGCCCCUGACAGCUUUGCUGUGUGAGCAAUCUGCGAUCACACAGGUCUUCUGAUAAUGCAGCAUCAUCAGAAAUGUGUGCACACACUAGGAGUUAUUCAUUCCUACAGACCAAAAAGGUUAUCGUGAGCUGAGGGUUGCUGGCAGGAACACAGUGUUACUAAGUAGGAGAUGUGGAGGGAGGACGAUGUGGUCUGCGUCCCCUGCUUAUUGAAGAGAAGUGGGGACAAGCAGGGACAAGUGCCUAAAUAGAGCACAAUUGCUUCAGGGAUCCCAAUGGGAGAGUAACCCAGGACUUUAUUUCACCACAUCCUGUACAUCCCAGGUGACCUGGAACAGUCUCCAGCAGUAUAAUCAGCCCUGCUCCUCACCACGUUAUACUGGGGGGAUCUGCAAGUCCCAUUUCAAACCUUGGGUACAAAUCCUGGGCUCCCACUGUCGCAGGUGUGGUACACACAUUUGUGACAGCAAAGUUGAAUGAAU